AACGAACGCUGGCGGCAUGCCUAACACAUGCAAGUCGAACGAGAUCUUCGGGUCUAGUGGCGCACGGGUGCGUAACGCGUGGGAAUCUGCCCUUUGGUUCGGAAUAACAGUUGGAAACGACUGCUAAUACCGGUUGAUGACGAAAGUCCAAAGAUUUAUCGCCAGAGGAUGGGCCCGCGUAGGAUUAGCUAGUUGGUGUGGUAAAGGCGCACCAAGGCGACGAUCCUUAGCUGGUCUGAGAGGAUGAUCAGCCACACUGGGACUGAGACACGGCCCAGACUCCUACGGGAGGCAGCAGUGGGGAAUAUUGGGCAAUGGGCGAAAACCUGAUCCAGCAAUGCCGCGUGAGUGAUGAAGGCCUUAGGGUUGUAAAGCUCUUUUACCCGGGAUGAUAAUGACAGUACCGGGAGAAUAAGCUCCGGCUAACUCCGUGCCAGCCGCCGCCGUAA
rnacentral:rRNA from 1 species